rnacentral:rRNA from 1 species
AACGUAGGACACAAGCGUUAUCCGGAGUUACUGGGCGUAAAGGGCGCGUAGGCGGCCUUCUAAGUCGAACGUGAAAUCCCCGGGCUCAACCCGGGAACUGCGUCCGAUACUGGAAGGCUUGAAUCCGGGAGAGGGAUGUGGAAUUCCAGGUGUAGCGGUGAAAUGCGUAGAUAUCUGGAGGAACACCGGUGGCGAAGGCGACAUCCUGGACCGGUAUUGACGCUGAGGCGCGAAAGCCAGGGGAGCAAACGGG